UGAGGAAUUUUGCGCAAUGGCCGCAAGGCUGACGCAGCAACGCCGCGUGGGUGAUGAAGGCCUUCGGGUCGUAAAGCCCUGUCAGGUGGGAAGAAAGGCCUUAAGGAGAAAGACUUGAGGUUUGACGGUACCACCAGAGGAAGCACCGGCUAACUCCGUGCCAGCAGCCGCGGUAAUACGGAGGGUGCGAGCGUUAUUCGGAAUUACUGGGCGUAAAGCGCGUGUAGGCGGGGGGACAAGUCUGACGUGAAAGCCCUGGGCUUAACCUGGGAAUCGCAUUGGAAACUGUUGUUCUUGAGUACUGGAGAGGAAGGGGGAAUUCCCGGUGUAGAGGUGAAAUUCGUAGAGAUCGGGAGGAAUACCAGUGGCGUAGGCGCCCUUCUGGACGGUAACUGACGCUGAGACGCGAAAGCGUGGGGAGCAAACAG
rnacentral:rRNA from 1 species